rnacentral:rRNA from 1 species
UACGAAGGGUGCAAGCGUUACUCGGAAUUACUGGGCGUAAAGCGUGCGUAGGCGGUUUGUUAAGUCUGUCGUGAAAGCCCCGGGCUCAACCUGGGAAUGGCGAUGGAUACUGGCGAGCUAGAGUACGGUAGAGGAGAGUGGAAUUCCCGGUGUAGCAGUGAAAUGCGUAGAGAUCGGGAGGAACACCGGUGGCGAAGGCGGCGACCUGGGUAGAUACUGACGCUGAGGUGCGAAAGCGUGGGGAGCGAACCGG